CAGAAAAUUAUGAGUGUGAGUGCAUGUCUGUGAGUAUGUGAGAGAGAGGGUGGUCCGAAGAACACCGAAGGCCAGUCACAUCAGAGCCUGCACUGCUACCAUUGCUGAGAGCGAUCAGUCUGGAAUUUUCACACUUUAGUAUUUAAUAGCUGCUGGUGUUAUAAGCACUGUGAUUGUAUCAACUUCCAUGUACUAAAUUCACCACGUGGACAAAUGAUGCUUGCAUUCACUCUUUCUCCGAGGCCAGUUGUUGCUAUUUUCAAAUUUUUAACCAUUCUGUUGGUCUCAUGAAAGAAGAUUCCAAGUCUAAAGCAGAUUACAGACUGUUUCUUAAUAAGUGGAGAGUUUCAGAAAAUAGAUUUAAUUAACUAAGGUUCAUGUAGGGAUUAGGGAAGAAUAAACCAAAGCAAAGAUGAGCAAUUCCACAUUCCAGAACCACCCACAGACCACCUGGUUUCACUCUAAGGUCCAUGAUGUAAUCUGAAGAUAGAACUUUAGAAAACGGCCUCCAUUUUCUUUUCUCAAAAAUAGAUAAGUAUUGUAAGGAAUUCAAAAAUAGAUAAGUAUUGUAAGGAAUUUGAAAGAUUUGCCAGUGUUCCUAGAAGGCUUCUGUUUAGCAAAAUAGGUAAUCUUUUUUUAAAAUUUGAGAUGGAGUCUCGCUCUGUCACCAGGCUGAAGUGCAGUGGCACGAUCUCAGCUCACUGCAACCUCCACCUCCCCGGUUCAAUCGAUUCUCCUGCCUCAGCCUCCCAAGAAGCUGAGACUACAGGCAUGCACCACCACGCGCAGCUAAUUUUUGUAUUUUUAGUAGAGAUGGGGUUUCGCCAUGUUGGCCAGGAUAGUCUCGAUCUCUUGAACUCAUGAUCCGCCUGCUUCAGCCUCCCAAAAUGCUGGGAUUACUGGUGUGAGCCACUGCGCCCGUUCAAAAUAGGUAAUCUUAAAUUGUAACACUAGUCACUUUUUAUGGGCCUCAAACAAGUUAUUUCCAUUCAGAAUAGAAAAAGAACACAGUUCAUAAAUAUAUUUUGGUUUUUGUGAGCUGGCUGUUGAGGAGGACACAUUGCUGCCUCACCCCUGAGCUAAAGGAUGAGGCCCUAAUCCUCUCCGUGAAAAGGUCUCUAACUGGGCCCUGAAUUCCCACAACAGCUCUCAGGGAUCUCCUGAGGCCAUCCAGCCCUGCAAAUCCAAACACAGCAGCUGGACCAUUGCUGCUUCUACUGGGUGAGAAUGUUGGUCAGUGAUUCAGCGGCUCUUGUCUCUAGCUGCACAGUGGAACCACGUGGAGAACUUCAGAAACCACUAGUACCUGCCUGGGUCCACCCCCCAUGGACUGACUUAAAUGGUCUGGGGUGUAGCCUGGGCAUUGAGACUUUCUUUUCUUUUCUUUUUUUUUUUUUGAGACAGAAUUUUGCCCUUGUUGCCCAGACUGGAGUGCAAUGGCACCAUCUUGGCUCACUGCAACCUCCACCUCCCAGGUUCAAGAGAUUCUCCUGCCUCAGCCUCCUGAGUUAGGCCACCACUCCCGGCUAAUUUUUGUAUUUUUAGUAGAGAUGGGGUUUCAUCCUAUUGGCCAGGAUGGUUGCGAUCUCUUGACCUCGUAAUCCACCCAUCUUGGCUUCCCAAAGUGCUGGGAUUAGGCGCCCAGUCAUUUGAGACAUUUGAAAGUCCAGAAGAUUCUAAUGUUGGAAACCAUUGCCUUCCACUUUCUUCUUUUCUUUGUUAAACGAUGUUUCUAAAUACAUGUUUUUUUUCCCUAAAUAAAAAAUAUUAUAUUCCUAUUAGUUUGCAAUCUGGGGAGAGCAGACCUAGAAAGAGUGCUAUGGAAAAUGCCUGUGUUCCAGGAAGAAAAGGUAGUGUGGCCUUCUGAACCUCCUGUGGUGACACUCAAAACACGGAGCCUGGCACUAAAAUUCAGCACACCGCAAAAGACAUAUUUUAAAGUCGCUGCUGGAACUGCCAGUUCCAGUAAAAAUGUAGAAAUGCGUUUUCUCUGUCUUAAGCAAUGCAGUUCCCGGCUGGAAAUGCAUGUUGUGAAGAAAUCUGUGGCAUUUAAGCCCUUCUAAUUGUUUGAAGCCCAUAAUCAUAACCAAAUAGCUCCCAACUGGAGAAGAAAAGAGAGAAAAGGACAUUAUACCUACAAAGGGCCUCUCAGAAUAGCUGUGGGUCAAAGCCUGGCUAAUAGUACAGCAGGUCUUCCCACCACACCCUAAGAUACUCAGAGGAGAGUUACAUUCAAUUUACUGAUGUUCCCUUCAGCUUUCCCUGCCUGUGGUAGAAAUGUCACCAAGUGACUCUCCUCUAAGGAGAUUCUUUCAAGAUUGAGUCUUUCCAGUAUUUUUGCUUAAGCUUGUCAUCAAGAACUGCGAUUAUAUCCAACAGGAUUGUUACCUGCACUAAGUCAUUCUUCCACAUGUGAACUAGGACCUUUAAUAAUUAACCAGGCUUAGAAUGCUGGGCUAACCAACCUCAAAAAUAGGGUUCUGCCAGCCAGCCGGGCUUGGUGCUCACACCUGUAAUCCCAGCACUUUGGGAGGCCAAGUCCAUCGGAUCAUGAGUUCAAGAGUUCAAGAGAUCAAGACUAUCCUGGCCAACAUGGUGAAAUCUCAUCUCUACUAAAAAUACAAAAAAUAACUGGGCAUGGUGGUGGUGGGCGCCUGUAAUUCCAGCUGCUUGGGAGGCUGAGGCAAGAGAAUUGCUUGAACCCAGGAGGCAGAGGUUGCAGUGAGCUGAGAUCAAACCACUGCACUCCAGCCUGGUGACAGAGUGAGACUCUGUCUCAAAAAAAAAAAACAAUCAAGUUCUGCUUCUCUUCCCCAUUUUUAGAGUGAGGGUAGAUCAGAGUGCGCAGGCUCUGGGGCCAGAAGGGACUGACUACAAAUGUUGACUCCAUCUUCCCAAGGAUGUGACCCUGAGUGAGUUUCUAAAGCUGCCUGUGUCUUAUCUCAUCACCUAUAGAUACCAUCUCCUCAGAUUAUUAAAAAGAUUGGAUAAUGUUUAUGAAGGCACCUGACACCCAGGAAAUACUGAAUAAAUAAGUGUUCAAUAAAAAGUAAAUAUCAGUUCUCAGGCGGUGAGAGCAUUCUGUAUUUUAUCAGUUUCUGAGAUUUAAGGCAUCCUUGUGAUUUUAUUUCUUGUUUAUUAAUUAUUAACUUACAAAACAGUCACGGUUAAGGAAAAAAUAAUUUCAAGUCCCACUCCCUCCUCCAAAUAACCAGUGCUAAAACUUAGAAUGCAUUCUAACACAUUUCUCUAUGCUUAUACAGAUACACAUGCAUGGGUUUUAUAUUUCCGUUUGUCUAUACAAAGGUAGGAUCUCUGCAACUUGCUUUAUCCAUAGAUAUCCUUCCAGGUCAGGAUGUACAGAUCAAAGUCAUUUUUUUUUUUUUUUUUUUUGGACAGAGUCUUGCUCUGUUGCCCAGGCUGGAGUGCAGUGGCACAAUCUCAGCUCAGUGCAACCUCUGCCUCCCAGGUUCAAGCUAUUCUCUUGCCUCAGCAUCCCAAGUAACUAGAAUUAUAGGUGUGUGCCACCACCCCUGGCUAAUUUUUGUAUUUUUAGUAGAGACAGAGUUUCGCCAUGUUGGCCAGGCUGGUCUCGAACUCCUGACCUCAGGCGAUCCACUUGCCUCUGCCUCCCAAAGUGCUGGGAUUACAGACGAGCCACUGCACCUGGCCCAAAGUCAUUCUUUUUUUUGAGACAAAGUUUCGCUCUUGUUACCCAGGCUGGAGUGCAAUGGCGUGAUCUCGGCUCACCACAACCUCCGCCUCCUGGGUUCAGGCAAUUCUCCUGCCUCAGCCUUCUGAGUAGCUGGGAUUACAGGCACAUGCCACCAUGCCCAGCUAAUUUUUUGUAUUUUUAGUAGAGACGGGAUUUCACCCUGUUGACCAGGAUGGUCUUGAUCUCUCGACCUCGUGAUCCACCUGCCUCGGCCUCCCAAAGUGCAAAGUCAUUCUUUUUAAUAGCUGUGUAGUAAUCCCCAGUGUUGGUGGAACAUACCUUAUUCAGCCAUUCCCUUUAAUGAUGGACAUUAAGAAUCUUUCCAGAUUUCUGCCACCAAAAGCAAUGAUGCAAUAAUCAAUCAUACUUGUACUUAAUAUCUAUAUAUACCUUUUAUUCUGUGAGUACCUCAUUUUUUUCUUUAACCAUUGCUUGGUACUGCUUAAAUACUUGGGAGUACAGAGAGCUAAUUGAGGUAGGGAAGACCAGGAGGGGUCAUUGCAGAGAAGUCUGAUUCCUUGCAAUGAAAUUGGACCACACCAACACAUUUUCUUCUUCAAAGAUUCAACUAGGGCCUCUCUCUCUCUCCUCUCUCUCUCUCUCUCUUUCUCUCUCUCUCUCUCUCUCUCUCUCUCUCACACACACACACACACACACACACACACAGCCUCCAAAACUCUCCUCUGCCUCCUGAGUACAGAUUUUUCUCUUUUCCCUCUUUGAGGGUAGAGGCAAACUUCAGCCACCCUUGUUAACUGUAGCCCCCAGCACAGAACCAAGCAGGCAGUCCUCGCUUGACGCCUGGCCCAAUAAGAAGCUCUGACCAUUAGGACUCUGCCUUUCGAUGCCUCCGUUAACUGGCCUCACUCUACUCUUCUGAUGUGUGAUGCCUCUCCUCUCAGCUGAGGGAUGAGCCCCUGGGCUAAAUUUCCUACAGGUUUAAUCUCACUAUUCUCAAGUUUAAUCCCUGACAACUGGUUGGUUUUUUGUUUGUUUGUUUGUUUUUUCUUAAAUUCCUCACCUACCUAGAAAUCUAAUCUAAGAUCAGAAAUAUUUCCUUCCACAGAAUUUGUCAUCUCUGAUAAACAGCCCUUUUAGCCAGCCAUCUGUUAAAAUUCAUGCCUCUCCACUAUGUUUAUAGUUUUGGAAUUGUUAUUGGGAAAUGCCUAGAAAGACAGGAACAUUCCCAGCCCCCUGCCCCUUGGCCCUAGAUGUGAUCCCGUGACACGUUUUCACCAAUGGAAUGUCAGUGGCUGUGAUGGCCCCUAAUUCUAGCCAAGGCUUGGAAGAAAGGUUUGCCCUCUCUAAUCCCUUUCUCCUUGUACCAGCUACAAUCACAAGAACCUAGAGGGAUGCAGAGCCACCAGAUGGAAAAAGUCUGGGUGCCUGAGUCACUGCGUGGAGAGAGCUACCUGGCACCCAAAAGGAUUCACCUCAAACUGAAAGAACAAAGUGACAAACAGUGAUCACAUUUGUGCCUUCAUACCGCAUUGCAUCUGUUCCAACAGCUAGCAGUACACUAAUGCGAGUCCUUAACAAGGACAGCCAUUUCAGAAACAGCUGAAACACAGACCCAGUUCUCUGACAACAAACCCUAUGUUCUAAGCCACCAUGCCACACUGCUUCUUUUCUAUAGAAAAUCUCUAGGUCAGAGAUUGACCCUUUUGUCAGUUAAUGGACCUCCUCGGUUCAGUUUAAAUCUUUUCCCUGCUCUAUCUUUUCCUUUAGCCAUUAGGACAGAAAUCAGAAGUUGACCAAAAUGAGAUUCAUCAUGAACAAACAAAUCAUGCCAGAAACAAGAAUGUGGGAUUUAUGAUGAUACCAGAAACACGAAUAUUGUUAAGUGACAACAGGUGGCCUCUUUGGUGUCUAUCUGGAAAAGUCUUAGGUUUCUAUAGUCUUUAAGACCACACUUUGAUUAUUGCCAUCCCAGCUGAAUUCUGAUGCUCACAAAACACAAUUACCUUUUGCACUGGUGUUCAUUUAUUUUUCUAAAUAGGAUAUGACACAUUCAUUAGGAGAUAGGUUGAUGGGUAAUAAGUUUUCCAGGAUAUUUUAAUUGAGGCUUAUAGUCAGUUGUCAGUAUAAAUUAACAUUAUAUUAAAUAAUUCAUGAAUUAAUGGUCUGGCUGUGCAAAAUGAAAUGUCUUUUUAAUUUCUGAAUGGGCAUCCUAAAGUCUUUUCAUUUGGUAGCUUUGGUAAGAAAUGAGUCACUGGGCCGGGCGCGGUGGCUCAAGCCUGUAAUCCCAGUACUUUGGGAGGCCGAGGCGGGUGGAUCACGAGGUCAAGAGAUCGAGACCAUCCUGGUCAACAUGGUGAAACCCCGUCUCUACUAAAAAUACAAAAAAUUAGCUGGGCAUGGUGGCGUGUGCCUGUAAUCCCAGCUACUCGGGAGGCUGAAGCAGGAGAAUUGCCUGAACCCAGGAGGCGGAGGUUGCGGUGAACUGAGAUCGCGCCAUUGCACCCCAGCCGGGGUAACAAGAGCGAAACUCCAUCUCAAAGAAAAGAAAUUAGUCACCAAGACUAAUUGGUCAUAAGAAAAUUUUUUUUGUAGCAAACUUCUUUUUGUACAGUUCUCUGCUCUAGAACAAUAUUCUGUCUAUGGUUGUAACACAGUCCUUGUUUUAAAAACAACUGAAUCCGCUUUCCUGCACCACAGUACAAGAGCACAAGGCAGCAAAGUGAUACUUACAGGGAAAGUGAUUUUGUGUUCGCCCUCCAGACUAGCCAUUCAAACUUUCUUGUUUAUUAUUUACUACUAGAUUCUCUUUUCUUUUGUAUUCAGUCAAUACCCUAUUUGCUUUUUUGGCUUUUCAGAUAAUAAUGGUGUGUAUCCUGGCUGUGGUAAAGCAUAGGCAAGGCUGGAAGUAAGUGCUUAUUUUCUGCCUCAUAAAGUUACUUCCUUCCGGAUGUGUGUUAGUUCUCAGUAGAAAUUACAGUCUGUAAUGACGUCUCAUCUCACCUUGUGAAGGAGCUUUUUAGGUCACGUAACAUCCCAUGUAUUACAAAGGGCGUGUGAAAGUCAGCCAGGGAUCCAUGCUUCACCUUGAGAGCAAUUUCGAUGUGAGGGUUCAAGGUAAAAAUGAUGUUGACUUUUACAGGCAGUGGGGAGAAAGGGCUUUACUAUUUAUCACAGGACAUCCACUUCCUCUUUCCAGCAAAGCGAAGGACUCUUGUCCCUGCUGCUCAAGAAAGCUGAUUCGAGAAUGUGUCAUUGUCUCGGAUGCAAAUCAGAUUGAGAAUAGAACACCAGGCGGGUGCUCUAAGUAAUUUUUUUAAGGGAAGUAAUGAAUGCCUCAGGAGGAAUAAUUAGGUGUGGGGAUGUUUGUAUGGGAGUGAUGAAUCGAUCUCCCUGCAGUUCUGGCUAAACUAAGAGUGGGAGUAAGACAGACAUGGGGCUUUUUGGAGCUUGCAAACCAGUCUCACACACUGCAAGUGAGAGCGCCGGGCCUUUAGGGUGACAGCAUAAGAGCAUGAGAGGAAACCUGGCUGAACAUGAGGACUGGGAAAUGAGAGAGCUGUUCAGUGAGAGGCCCGGGGGGACCCGGGACAGCAUCUGCAGACCUUGCCAGCUCCACUGCAGGCCUUGCCCUGGCCAACACCUCCAAAUGUGUUUUGGUGUCUUAAACCCAUUAGCCAAAAAAGUGCCUGGUGGGUUUUGCCUCCAAGAGAGUUAAAACUAGAGUCACUGCCAGGCCUGUCUGUCACCAAUCUGCAGUUUCCUGUUAGGACAUUCUUCGGGCACUACAGUGGGACCCAGGGAAACUCAGAGCCAGGCCCACCGCAUGAGUGCUAAGGCUUAGAGGGCAUUUGCCAGAGGCAGCUUUGAAGGGGCUAAAUAAUUGAGGUUUAAUGAAUUUGGAGGGUGAUAUGUGAAUACAUACCAUUUUUGGUUUUGUCUUGUUUCGGACACAGGCCUUCGCUCUAUCACGUAGGCUGGAGUGCAGUGGCCUGAUCACAGCUCACUGCAGCCUCGAAAUCCUGGGCUUGAGCAAUUCUCUUGCCUCAGCCUCCCAGGUAGCUGGGAUGACAGGCACCUGCCACCAUGCUUGGCUAAGUUUUUUUCUUAAUUUUUUUGUAGAGACAAGGUCUCACUUUGUAGCCCAAGCUAAUAUCCAGACUUCGAGCGAUCCUCCUGCCUCAACCUCCCAAACUGCUGGAAUUACAGGCAUGAGUUGCUGCCCCCAGCCUACAAACUGCUUGUUAGUUUCCCCUACUUCCCAAGCUGAUCUGGGGGGCUACCUCCCCACAAACACAUAAGCAAGAAUAACUCAAAAACUAUCAAUAAAUGAAUGUGGUUUGGAGAGAAGGGACACAGCCAACAAUAAACAAUAAAACGAAAGUUUUGAAUUCCACUUUUUCGGCCACAUAUUAAAUGUGCUGUUCAUUUGCUCCUUAUAAGAAAGAGUCCGAAGAAGCAGCUUCUCCGCUCCUUCUGGAAUCUCUCCCUGGUUCAGCCCACCUGUCUCCACUCCUGCCUCCACCAUGUCCAUCAGGGUGACCCAGAAGUCCUACAAGGUGUCCACCUCUGGCCCCGGGGCCUUCAGCAGCCACUCCUUCACGAGUGGGCCCAGUGCCCGCUAGAGCUUCUCCCAAGUGAGCAGUAGUGGCUUCCGGGGUGGCCUGGGUGCAGGCUAUUCUGGGGCCAGCGGCAUAGGCAUGGGAGGCAUCACCGCCGUCACCAUCAACCAGAGCCUGCUGAACCCCAUUAAGGUGGAUGUGGACCCCAACAUCCAGGCCGUGCGUACCCAGGAGAAGGAGCAGAUCAAGACUCUCAACAACAAAUUUGCUUCCUUCAUCGACAAAGUGCGGUUCCUGGAGCAGCAGAACAAGAUGCUGGAGACCAAGUGGAGCCUCCUGCAGCAGCAGAAGACGUCUCAGAGCAACAUGGAACAUGUGGGAGAGCUACAUCAACAACCUUAGGUGGCAGCUGGAGACUCUGGGCCAGGAGAAGCUGAAGCUGGAGGCAGAGCUUGGCAACAUGCAGGGGCUGGUGGAGGACUUCAGAAACAAGUAUGAAGAAGAGAUCAAUAAACAUACAGAGAUGGAGAAUGAAUUUGUCCUCAUCAAGAAGGAUGUGGAUGAAGCUUACAUGAACAAGGUAGAGCUGGAGUCUCGCCUGGAAGGACUGACUGACGAGAUCCACUUCCUCAGGCAUCUGUAUGAAGAGGAGAGUGGGGAGCUGCAGUCCCAGAUCUCAGGCAAGUCUGUGGUGCUGUCCAUGGACAACAGCCGCUCUCUGGACAUGGACAGCAUCAUCGCUGAGGUCAAGGCACAGUAAGAGGAGAUCGCCAACUGCAGCCGGGCUGAGGCAGAAAGCGUAUACCAGAUCAAGUAUGAGGAGCUGCAGAUGCUGGCUGGGAAGCAUGGGGAUGACCUGCGGCGUGCAAAGACUGAGAUCUCCAAGAUGAACCGGAACAUCAGCCGGCUCCAGGCUGAGAUCGAGGGCCUCAAAGGCCAGAGGGCUUCCCUGGAGGCCGCCAUUGCAGAUGCUGAGCAUCGUGGGGGGAGCAGGCACUCAAGGAUGGUCAUACCAAGCAGCAGGAGCUGGAGGCCGCCCUGCAGCGGGCCAAGCAGGACAUGGCAAAGCAGCUGCGUGAGUACCAGGAGCUGAUGAAUGUCAAACUGGCCCUGGACAUCGAGAUCGCCACCUACCGCAAGCUACUGGAGGGCAAGGAGAGCCAGCUGGAGCCCGGGAUGCAGAACAUGAGUAUCCACACGAAGACCACCAGCGGCUAUGCAGGUGGUCUGAGCUCUGCCUAUGGGGGCCUCACAAGCCCCGGCCUCAGCUACGGCCUGGGAUCCAGCUUUGGCUCCACCUCCAUCAGCUGCACCAGCUCCACCAAGGCUGUGGUUGUGAAGAAGAUUGAGACCCACGAUGGGAGGCUGGUGUCCAAGUCCUCUGACGUCCUACCCAAGUGAACAGCUGCAACAGCCCCUCCCAGCCUGCCCCUCCUGAGGCUGCCCCAGAGCCCAGGAGGGAGGCUGCUGUGCAGGGGAGCGCAGGGAACAGGAGACCCACCUGACGCUUAGCCCUAGCCCUCAGCCCACAGGCGGGGAGUUUACUGCCUGGGGACCCCCCUUGCCCAUGCCUCCAGCUGCAAAACAAUUCAAUUGCUUUUUUUUUUUGGUCCAAAAUAAAAUCUCAGCUUGCUC